rnacentral:rRNA from 1 species
UACGGGGGGGGCAAGCGUUGUUCGGAAUUACUGGGCGUAAAGGGUUAGUAGGCGGCCAACUAAGUCAGACGUGAAAUCCCUCAGCUUAACUGGGGAACUGCGUCUGAGACUGAUUGGCUCGAGGACAGGAGAGGAACGCGGAAUUCCAGGUGUAGCGGUGAAAUGCGUAGAUAUCUGGAGGAACACCGGUGGCGAAGGCGGCGUCCUGGACUGUUUCUGACACUGAAUAACGAAAGCCAGGGGAGCAAACGGG